AUUCCAGCUCUCGAAGUGUAUAUCAUUGUUGUUGCGGUUAAAAAGCUCGUAGUUGGAUCUGCGUCUUUGGAGACGGUCUUCCCAACGGGAUAGCACUGACAUCCUGGACUAAUUGGCUGGUUUUGUCUUGGUGCCCUUAACCGGGUGCCUUGGCUGACUAGCACGUUUACUUUGAAAAAAUUAGAGUGCUCAAAACAGGCGUUUGCCUGAAUACUGGUGCAUGGAAUAAUAGAAUAGGACCUUGGUUCUAUUUUGUUGGUUUUCGGAACACAAGGUAAUGAUUAAGAGGGACAGACGGGGGCAUUCGUAUUGCAGCGCUAGAGGUGAAAUUCUUGGACCGCUGCAAGACGAACAACUGCGAAGGCAUUUGCCAAGAAUGUUUUCAUUG
rnacentral:rRNA from 1 species